GACGAAGGAUCCAAGCGUUAUCCGGAUUUAUUGGGUUUAAAGGGUGCGUAGGCGGUUUGAUAAGUCAGUGGUGAAAGCCUGCAGCUUAACUGCAGAACUGCCAUUGAUACUGUCAAUCUUGAAUAUGGUUGAUGUGGGCGGAAUAUGACAUGUAGCGGUGAAAUGCUUAGAUAUGUCAUAGAACACCGAUUGCGAAGGCAGCUCACAAAGCCAUUAUUGACACUGAGGCACGAAAGCGUGGGGAUCAAACAGG
rnacentral:rRNA from 1 species